GCGGAAGUGGCUCAGCUGGUAGAGCAUCACCUUGCCAAGGUGAGGGUCGCGGGUUCGAAUCCCGUCUUCCGCUCCA
rnacentral:tRNA from 1 species